rnacentral:tRNA from 1 species
GAGGGUAUAGCUCAAGUGGCAGAGUGCAUGCUUAGCAUGCAUGAGGUCCUGGGUUCAAUCCCCAGUACCUCCU